AUUAGGCAAAUCCGGUACUCAUUAAGGCUGAGCUGUGAUGGGGAGAAGACAUUGUGUCUUCGAGUCGUUGAUUUCACACUGCCGAGAAAAGCCUCUAGAUAGAAAAUAGGUGCCCGUACCGCAAACCGACACAGGUAGUCAAGAUGAGAAUUCUAAGGUGAGCGAGCGAACUCUCGUUAAGGAACUCGGCAAAAUGACCCCGUAACUUCGGGAGAAGGGGUGCUCUUUAGGGUUAACGCCCAGAAGAGCCGCAGUGAAUAGGCCCAAGCGACUGUUUAUCAAAAACACAGGUCUCUGCUAAACCGUAAGGUGAUGUAUAGGGGCUGACGCCUGCCCGGUGCUGGAAGGUUAAGAGGAGUGGUUAGCUUCUGCGAAGCUACGAAUCGAAGCCCCAGUAAACGGCGGCCGUAACUAUAACGGUCCUAAGGUAGCGAAAUUCCUUGUCGGGUAAGUUCCGACCCGCACGAAAGGCGUAACGAUUUGGGCACUGUCUCAACGAGAGACUCGGUGAAAUCAUAGUACCUGUGAAGAUGCAGGUUACCCGCGACAGGACGGAAAGACCCCGUGGAGCUUUACUGUAGCCUGAUAUUGAAAUUCGGCACAGCUUGUACAGGAUAGGUAGGAGCCUUUGAAACGUGAGCGCUAGCUUACGUGGAGGCGCUGGUGGGAUACUACCCUAGCUGUGUUGGCUUUCUAACCCGCACCACUUAUCGUGGUGGGAGACAGUGUCAGGCGGGCAGUUUGACUGGGGCGGUCGCCUCCUAAAAGGUAACGGAGGCGCUCAAAGGUUCCCUCAGAAUGGUUGGAAAUCAUUCAUAGAGUGUAAAGGCAUAAGGGAGCUUGACUGCGAGACCUACAAGUCGAGCAGGGUCGAAAGACGGACUUAGUGAUCCGGUGGUUCCGCAUGGAAGGGCCAUCGCUCAACGGAUAAAAGCUACCCCGGGGAUAACAGGCUUAUCUCCCCCAAGAGUUCACAUCGACGGGGAGGUUUGGCACCUCGAUGUCGGCUCAUCGCAUCCUGGGGCUGUAGUCGGUCCCAAGGGUUGGGCUGUUCGCCCAUUAAAGCGGUACGCGAGCUGGGUUCAGAACGUCGUGAGACAGUUCGGUCCCUAUCCGUCGUGGGCGUAGGAAAUUUGAGAGGAGCUGUCCUUAGUACGAGAGGACCGGGAUGGACAUACCUCUGGUGUACCAGUUGUCGUGCCAACGGCAUAGCUGGGUAGCUAUGUGUGGACGGGAUAAGUGCUGAAAGCAUCUAAGCAUGAAGCCCCCCUCAAGAUGAGAUUUCCCAACUUCGGUUAUAAGAUCCCUCAAAGAUGAUGAGGUUAAUAGGUUCGAGGUGGAAGCAUGGUGACAUGUGGAGCUGACGAAUACUAAUCGAUCGAAGACUUAAUCAAA
rnacentral:rRNA from 1 species